rnacentral:lncRNA from 1 species
AGUGAAAAUUCUUAGUGAAGAAAAUCUGUAAUGCACUGACUUUGUUCAACAGGUCCAAAAUUCUGCUGGAGUAGUUGAAAGUCCAAUGAAAAAUGGUAAUACUGACAGCAUUUGACAAAUCACUCGGGUAAAGAUCUUCAGACUAAGGACACUAGGUGCAUGAAACUUGAGGAAGAAUUUGAACUAUGGUCCAGGAAUCACUUGAAACUGAACUUAUUCCUUUUCACUACCUGGAAUGCCCAGCAGUAAGAUGUUGUGUUAACCUAAUGGAGUUGAGGCCUAGGUAUGGAUGCCCAGCGACAUUCAAGCCAUUACUCCUCCUUGCCCGUUAUUCACAAACGUUUGUAGUAAAACAUUUCAUUGCACUUAUUAAUUUGUAAUAAGUAAUGGUAAGGUGGGUAUUGCCUUACUCAAGAUGAAUAUGAAGGGGAAAAGACAUUGAGUAACAAUUGUCAUUACAAUGAUAUUGCCUUGAAUAACAAACAGAAGCUAUCAGAAUUCACCAAAUAAUUGAUAGUGCACCAGGCUGCAUAAUUUCCUAAGGCUGCUUGCUUUGUCCAUAUGAGCCUUAGAAAAAUGAGAGUUC